rnacentral:lncRNA from 1 species
UAUUGAAGUAAUCUCCUUGCAGUUCCACUGACAUCUUGUUUCUCUUUGCAGGCUGGUGCUGUAGAAAAAUGAUGCUGCUAUCUCUUGUGCAAGCCAAGCCCUGGCCUGGCUGCUGUUCCUUCCUGCAGCCACCUCUGUGCCCUGUACACCUAAGAAGUCCCAAGAAGACUGCUGCCUUCCCUUUUCUGUUGCUUUCCUCCUCUCAAGAACUCUGUUCCAAAAGGCUUCCAAGAAGGUAAGCCCUACAGGAUUCCACAGUGAUUGCUCAGGGGUGACUUCGGACAGUAAGCUUCUGAUGCUGUUUCAGUCAUUCUUUGCUUCCCCUGAGAAAACCAGGGUCCAUAGUACUGAGUUCUGACAUUAACAUGAACCAUGACCAGGCAGCAUGUUUGAGGCAGCCCCUGGCUGUGACAUCCACGUAGUCUGGAGUUUAUGUGAGAGGAGAAUUUGGCUGAAUUUUUACCUCAUCUUUCCCAAAGACAGCAAUUUUGUGGAGGAACCAUGUCUAUCUGACAUGAUUUGCCUUUCAAAAAACUCUCCUGACUCAUGAUUAAUAAAUAAUUCUCUCAGAAUGUACA